rnacentral:rRNA from 1 species
CGAAGGGUGCGAAGCGUUGUUCGGAUUAUUGGGCGUAAAGCGCGCGUAGGCGGACCCGCAAGUCAGAUGUGAAAUCUCAGGGCUCAACCCUGAAACUGCGUCUGAAACUACGGGUCUAGAAUCUUGGAGGGGGAAGGGGAAUUUCGCAUGUAGGGGUAAAAUCCGUAGAUAUGCGAAGGAACACCAGAGGCGAAGGCGCCUUCCUGGACAAGUAUUGACGCUGAGGCGCGAAAGCGUGGGGAUCAAACAGGAUUAGAUACCCUGGUAGUCCACGCUGUAAACGAUGAAUACUAGGUAUUGGGGGAUUUGACCCCUUCAGUGCCGCAGCUAACGCGUUAAGUAUUCCGCCUGGGAAGUACGGUCGCAAGACUA